AUUGAACGCUGGCGGCAGGCCUAACACAUGCAAGUCGAACGAGUGGCGGACGGGUGAGUAAUGUCUGGGAAACUGCCUGAUGGAGGGGGAUAACUACUGGAAACGGUAGCUAAUACCGCAUACCAUCAGAUGUGCCCAGAUGGGAUGAGCUUGUUGGUGGGGUAACGGCUAACCGAGGCGACGAUCCCUAGCGGGUCUGAGAGGCUGACCAGCCACACUGGAACUGGUACACGGUCCAGACUCCUACGGGAGGCAGCAGUGGGGAAGAUGUGACAAUGGGCGCAAGCCUGAUGCAGCCAUGCCGCGUGUGUGAAGAAGGUCUUCGGAUUGUAAAGCACUUUAAGUUGGGAGGCGUUACCAACAGAAUAAGCACCGGCUAACUACGUGCCAGCAGCCGCGGUAAUUC
rnacentral:rRNA from 1 species